UGAAUACGAGACGCUAAGGCGUCGAAGUAGUGUAUGUCAUACUUCCAAGAAAAGCUUGCACUGUCAUAGAUAAAAAACGCCUGUACCAUAACCGACACAGGUGGGUAGGUAGAGUAUACUAAGGGGCGCGAGAUAGCUCUCUCUAAGGAACUCGGCAAAAUAACUCCGUAACUUCGGGAGAAGGAGUGCCUUAUUCUUAAGGUUGCAACAACAAGAUCCAAGCAACUGUUUAUCAAAAGCACAGGUCUCCGCUAAGUCGUAAGACGAUGUAUGGGGGCUGACGCCUGCCCAGUGCCAGAAGGUUAAAGAAGCUGGUUAGCAAUUGCGAAGCUGGUGACUGAAGCCCUGGUGAACGGCGGCCGUAACUAUAACGGUCCUAAGGUAGCGAAAUUCCUUGUCGGGUAAGUUCCGACCCGCACGAAAGGCGUAAUGAUUUGGAUACUGUCUCGGAGAGGGGCUCGGUGAAAUAGACUUGUCUGUGAAGAUGCGGACUACCUGCACCAGGACAGAAAGACCCUAUGAAGCUUUACUGUAACUUGAAAUUGAAAUUGGACUUUAUUCGCGCAGCAUAGGUGGGAGGCGUUGAUUAUAAUCUUGCGGGAUUAUUGGAGCCAUUAGUGAGAUACCACUCUUGUAAUGUUAGAUUUCUAACUUUGAAUCAUUAUCUGGUCAAAGGACAGUUUCAGGCGGGCAGUUUGACUGGGGCGGUCGCCUCCCAAACGGUAACGGAGGCGUACAAAGGUUUCCUCUGAACGGUUAGAAAUCGUAUCUAGAGUGUAAAGGCAUAAGGAAGCUUGACUGUGAGACCUACAAGUCGAGCAGGGACGAAAGUCGGUCUUAGUGAUCUGACGGUACUGAGUGGAAAGGCCGUCACUCAACGGAUAAAAGUUACUCUAAGGAUAACAGGCUGAUCUCCCCCAAGAGUUCACAUCGACGGGGAGGUUUGGCACCUCGAUGUCGGCUCAUCGCAUCCUGGGGCGGUAGUACGUCCCAAGGGUUGGGCUGUUCGCCCAUGAAAGCGGUACGCGAGCUGGGUUCAGAACGUCGUGAGACAGUUCGGUCCAUAUCCGGUGUAGGCGUUAGAAUAUUGAGAGGAGCCUUCUUUAGUACGAGAGGACCGAGAAGGACAUACCUCUGGUGUACCAGUUAUCGUGCCAACGGUAAACGCUGGGUAGCUAUGUAUGGAGUGGAUAACCGCUGAAAGCAUCUAAGUGGGAAGCCCACCUCAAGAUAAG
rnacentral:rRNA from 1 species